UCUGCUACUGGGUCGCCUGUCGCAGA
rnacentral:ncRNA from 1 species